GAUGAACGCUGGCGGCGUGCCUAAUACAUGCAAGUCGAGCGAACGGACGAGUAGCUUGCUUUUCUGAUGUUAGCGGCGGACGUGUGAGUAACACGUGGAUAACCUACCUAUAAGACUGGGAUAACUUCGGGAAACCGGAGCUAAUACCGGAUAAUAUUUUGAACCGCAUGGUUCAAAAGUUAAAGACGGUCUUUCUGUCCCUUAUCGAUGGAUCCGCGCUGCAUUAGCUAGUUGGUAAGGUAACGGCUUACCAAGGCAACGAUGCAUAGCCGACCUGAGAGGGGGAACGGCCACACUGGAACUGAGCCGCGGUCCAGACUCCUACGGGAGGCAGCAGUAGGGAAGCUUCGGAGAUGGGCGAAAGCCUGACGGAGCAACGCCGCGUGAGUGAUGAAGGUCUGCGGAUCGUAAAACUCUGUUAUGAGGGAAGAACAUAUGUGUAAGUAACUGUGCACAUCGUGACGGUACCUAAUCAGAAAGCCACGGCUAACUACGUG
rnacentral:rRNA from 1 species